UGUCUGUAAAUAUACAGUAGUUUUCUGUUUUCAGCCCGUUUCACUCGUAAUACAGUAUAAUACUGUAGAAGCAUUGCAUUAUGGGAUUGAUUUUUUUUUACCGCGCUCAUUUCAAAUUUCUAGGCCAGGCAUACAUUUUAGCUUCUCUCCCAACGCUUUUAGUGUUUCACGUCGACUCUUCAGGGUUUAAUGUUAUCAUUAAACGAUAUUUGAGUGAAUAUAGUGUGCAGUUUUAAGCUUUUGAAGCGUCAGUUUGCCUGAGACGCGAGAUGACUGGACGGCGCUGCUGAGAAGACGUUAUUUUCGAGAUGUUAUUUUCCGCCUGAUUAAUCAAAACGUUUGCCUGUGUCGAGAAGACGGAUAAACGAUUGUUCGGCUGAGAAUACGGCUCAAUCAUCUGAUGUGCUCCAUUGUUUACGCUCUUUGACAUAUACCCUAAACAUGGCUCAAGAACCAGGAAGGGGGAAAAUGACCUUCUGUGAAAUAUGGUUAUGUUAAUGUACUUUGACAUCAACCAUGAACACGGCUCAAGAAACAAGAAGGGAAAGUGACUUCCAAGACUGGCAACACUGUGCAAAAAAGGAGCAGUACUGAAAAACUUGUAGGCCUACUAUUUGUUUUUACUCCACAUUUGAAAAAAUGUUAAAUGUAAAUAAGAUUGCUGUAUUGUUCAUUGAUAACUGCUGAGUGCAUUUAAAAUGUUGACCUUUCAACAUUGCAAUUUUCUGCUUUUUUCCAUAAAAAAAAUAAUAAAAGUUUUAAAACUCAA